GUGACAUUGGGUGACCAGGUUGGACGUAUGAAUGUUAACACAGCCACUUUGACCAUCAAUGUGAUACGCAACCAAAACACACCCUACUUUGUCAGCCUGCCUUACAACAAGUUCAUCACCGAAUCUCAAGCAGUCUCAUCUUCGAUAUUUACCGUUACCGCUCGGGACGAUGACCAGGUUAACACAUUUGAGCGUGUGACUUAUCAGAUUACCGGCGACGGUAAUGCUCCGGCUUUCUUCGGUAUUAAUUCCAACACUGGAGUAAUCUCCCUUACCCAGAGUUUGUCAGGUAACGCCGAUACUGUUUACAAUGUGAGAGUCACAGCUUACGACAAUGGAACACCACAACGCAGCAAUAGUACCAUCGUGUACAUCACAGUGGACCGAAACGGGAAUGCUCCGUUCUUUCAGCCAACCUCCUACAGUGCUCAGGUGGCAGACAACGGAAUUUUGGGGUCAUUGAUUGUACAGCUCACUGUAAAUGAUCUUGAUACUGUUUCUCCCUACAAUGAUGUUCGAUGCUUCUUAAGACAAAGCACUAGUAGUCAGUAUUUCUUUGUCGAUGAGGAGUCAUGUGGUGUUUACCUGGCUCGCAAUAUUGCAUUAGAUACAAAUGCUCCAAGCACUUAUUCAAUCUCAGUUGGUGCCGUGGACCUUGGUAACCCAUCAAGGUCAGCUGCAGUAGAUGCCAAUGUGUUCAUAUCUGUCCAGAGGAACCAAUUUUCACCAGAGUUCUUCAAUGACCCAUACACUCGAUCCAUCGCGCAGUCUGAAGCUGUCGGUAGCUUUGUACUCCAGGUUACAGCAACUGAUCGAGAUACAGUCUCCCCAUUCGGUGAUGUCUCCUACAGAUUGAUCGGCGAUGAUGAUGGAACAGUAUAUUUCAGCUUUAAUCCUACCUCACGCAAUAUAACUGUUGCUCGUGACCUUUCCCUGGACACUGCUACAUUGUAUCGCCUACGUAUAGAAGCACGUGACGGAGGUAACCCGGCCAGGAGCGCUACAUCGCUAGUGUCAAUCAAUGUGCGCAGAAACCUUUUCGAUCCAGUUUUCGCGACCCAAUUUUACAAUGUAACCAUUGACGAGACCCAGUCUCUUGGCGUGAACAUCCUACAGAUCACUGCCUCAGACCAGGAUACCAGAGCACCCAACAAUGUUAUCACUUACGUAAUGACAAAUAACAACUUCAACACCCUAUCGUCUCAGUACUUCACGGUGAACUCGGGAACUGGAGCUAUCACGCUUCGUCAGUCUCUGUUGAAUGACAACUCUGACACACGCAGGUUCACAUUUAACGUUGCCAUCAAUGACAACGGCAUUCCCCAGAGGCAAGGGCAGAAUUUUGCAAGUGUCGAAAUCAACGUUAUUCGUAACACCAGCCCGCCUCUCUUCGUGAGUACGCCAUAUGACAGAGAAAUCGACUACACUACUGCCCAGGGGACGCUUAUAUUUACUGCAACUGCAACAGAUGCUGAUGUUUCGCCAUAUAACAUUAUAAGCUAUGAUUUGAUCGGGGAUGAUGGAGCUACAGUCUUCUUUAGGAUUGAUGCCAACAACGGCGAAGUUCGUCUUACUCAGUCCAUUUCUCAGGAAACCACUACACAGUACCGGUUGACAAUCAGAGCCCGAGAUAAUGGCAAUCCCCGACUGUUUGACACAGAAACAGUUUAUCUAACGGUGCUUCGUAACCUCAACACGCCCUCAUUCACCUCAAAUCAGUACUCGACAACUAUACUGGAAACUAAUCCACCAGGAACCAGCAUCCUCACUGUUAGAGCAACAGAUUCUGAUAUUAAUAGUCCUAACAACGUCGUGAGAUACUUCUUCGAGGAGAAUGUUUCUCGAUUCAGAAUCGAUGAAACAACCGGCAUCAUUUACAUUCGCACAAACCUGUAUACUGACGAACAGGCAUCUUUCACAUACAAUGUGCGAGCUGUUGACCAGGGCAGUCCCUCACGAAGCAGCACACCAGUGCCUGUGACAAUUACAGUCCUACGUAACGAAUUCCCGCCAGUUUUCAUCAACGAGAUUUACACCGCUGACAUCACAGAUGGUUUCUUCCAGGGAUCAAACAUUAUCAGGGUUACGGCAAAUGAUCUCGACUCUGUGACUCCAUUUAAUCAAGUGACGUACUCCAUCAUUGGCGAUGACAAUGCUCCGACCUUGUUCACCAUCAACCCAAGCUCUGGUCAGAUUUCGUAUGCCACCAACACAAAUGUGAACUUGGACAGCACUUCCAUAUACAGGGUGCGAGUGUUGGCUUCUGAUGGCGGUAUUCCAUCGCUUUCUGACACCACCGUGGUCUACCUUAACAUCACAAGGAACCGAUUCUCCCCGGCGUUCCUGCAGACCCAGUACAACACACUGAUUCCGGAAUCACAGAGUCUUGGAGCCGAGGUCCUUCGUGUUUCGGCUAAUGACCAGGACACUGCUGCACCAUACAAUGUGGUUGAAUACAGUCUGAUCGGGAAUACCCGAGCCCAGGAGUACUUCCAGGUGUCGCCGUCUCUGGGAGUUAUCUCCCUUAUCAAGCCCGUCUACCAAGACAGCAGCAACGACAACUACGUGCUUACGAUAGCAGUGCGCGAUCUAGGCACACCCUCACGAGCAGGAACCAACACCGCAACAGUGACUGUGGGUGUGUACAGGAACCAGUUUCCACCUGUGUUCCAGCAGACUCCGUACACCACUACCAUCAAUGAGAACAUCAACAACGCCGCCUCUGUGUACAGGUUUACCGUGACAGAUGCUGACUCACAGUCCCCAUUCAACCUAAUUGGAGUGACCACUAUUGGCGAUGACACAGGCCCGACCUAUUUUUACCUCGAGUCUGUCAGCUCAACCCAGGGAAGCAGCGUGUAUAACGUCCGCGUACAAAAUGUUGCUGAUCUCGGCCUCGAUACGGCCACACAGUACCAGCUGAGGUUGUAUGCCCAGGACGGAGGAAAUGUUGCUGGUUUUGGAUUCGCGAGCAAGUCGGCCAAUCAAGUGCUAUACAUCACUGUCCGACGGAACACAUUCCCACCCAUCUUCACAAACAACAACAACAUUCAGACCAGCAUUGGCGAGACUGCUUUCCCGGGAGCUUUCAUUGUGGACCUGAAUGCCACUGAUGCUGAUGAUAAUGCCCCUGACAAUGUUGUUCGCUACUCGAUCAUUGGUGACGGACAAGCCCCGAACUACUUCUACAUUAAUCCAGUCGACGGCCGAAUCUCCCUGCUUGCAUCCGUGGAGAACACUGCCACCAGUUUUUACAGGAUCCAAGUACGUGCAACUGAUGGUGGUUUCCCGACUCUCACUGACACGACGUUCGUCGAUGUGAGCAUUACCAGGGUGACGGAGACGCUUACAUUCUUCACCACAAACUACCAGGAGACAAUUGCGGAGAAUCGUGGUCUUGCCUCGUCAGUUCUCCAGGUUCAAGCCCAGCCAGGGCCGGGCAUCACUUACUCGCUGGUUGGUUAUAGCGAUGGGCCUGAUUACUUCAAUAUUAGCUCCACAAGUGGCCAGAUUUUUGUACGCACUGACCUACGCACUGACCGUAACAAGAAAACUGUCCAUGUGCUGAGAGUUCAGGCAUACAGAGUAUUCACCACGGGUCCCCAGACGGCCUUUGCAAAUGUGACGAUCAAUGUCCAGCGCAACUUGAACACGCCCACAUUCAACCCACAACUGUAUGAGGUGAACGUCCCAGAAUCUCUCCCUCUCGGCUCCAGUGUGGUACAGCUCACAGCCAGCGAUAAUGACAUUUUUGAUGUUCUGAGGUAUGAAUUCCGCAGCCUGCAGUUUGGUGGAACAACAUUCGAUGAUUUCUACCUUGGACCUACCUCCGGGCUUAUUUCACUCAAGAGUGUGCUAACCAAUACCGCCAUAAGUCGCUACGAGUUCCUUGUAAUUGGUCGUGACCAGUCGUCCCCCGAGAGGACAGGCACUGCUACCGUACGCGUGAAUGUUGUGCGUAGCCAGUCACCGCCAGUGUUUAUAAACAAUGCCCCCUACACUACGUCCAUCAACUAUGACACAGCACCCGGAACUACCAUCUACAGGCAAUCUCGAGCCAGAGACCAAGACCUAGCGGGUACCUUGCGAUAUGGCCUAACAGGGCAGUACUUCUCCGCGGCCUUUUACUUCAUGAUUGAUGAAAUUGAGGGAGACAUCAUGGUGAGAAACCCGCUCACCAGUGAUACCAGCCUAACAUACACGCUCGGUCUCUUGGCUUACGAUACAGCCUACCCAGGCCAGGUUGCCUACACAAACAUCACCAUAUUGGUCAACCGCAACCCGAAUGCACCAGUCUUCAACCCUCAGACGUACCAACGAUCAAUCACGGAAGAUUACACUCUUGGCUUCAGUCUUGUGCAGAUUGAAACAAGCGAUGCUGAUGGGGACAACGUUCGCUGUGAUGUUACAAGCAUCUCCACGCCCAAUGUGUUCCCGCAGCCCAGUAACCUUGCUGACUACUUCUACCUUAACCCUUACACGUGCCUUCUGACACUGCGGGAAUCCCUCAGAACCAUUGGCGUCAACACUGUAGCCAUGACGGUUAGGGCCACGGACGACGGUAUUCCAAACAGACAGUCCAGCAUCAAUGCUCAGAUUACGAUCAAUAUCAACAGGAACGAGAAUGAUCCUUUCUUCAUAGGCACACCAUACGUAACGACAAUUCCAGAGACAACCCAACUUACAACGUCUAUUCUUCGAGUAACAGCUAAUGACGCUGAUAAUAUCAAUAACCAACAACUUACAUACGCAUUGAUUGGUGACGAUUCUACAUCUUCGUACUUCAAUUUCGACACAUCAACUGGAGUUUUUACUGUUGCACGGUCCCUAAUUGAAGAAACCCGUGACUACUAUAUUGGACGUAUUGUUGCGUAUGAUUCUGGAUCUCCUGCUCGUAGCGCCACAGUAACUGCACGCAUCAACAUUAACCGCAACAUUAACACGCCGGUGUUCAACCCUAUCAACUACAACGUUACAAUCAUGGAAACUGAGGCUACCAACUAUCUGGUGCUCACUGUGAGCGCUACAGAUUCAGAUAGAAUUUCGCCCUGGAACACAGUCACCUACCAGAUCCAGAACUUCCAGCAGAACAGUCUGUUCAACACUUACUUUGACCUGAACACAGCCAACGGUCAAAUCCGCGUCCGUCUGCCAUUGUACAAUGACUUCACGAACACAAGAACAUACUCGUUCGUAGUAACCGCGCAAGACGGAGGUAACAGGGUGUCUUCCCAGAAUGCCCAAGUGACCAUCAACGUGAUCAGGAACCUCUUCCCACCUGUGUUUACAAACGUGCCGUAUUCAUCGAACCUUCCAUUCUCAGUCAGCACCGGGUCGAGGGUGUUUGAUGUGAACGCUACUGAUUCUGAUACAGUCGCUCCGUACAACACAGUGACGUAUUCGAUUAUCGGGGACGAACCUUCACCGUCGCGGUUCUCGAUCAACCCUUCAAACGGCCUCAUCUCAACAACCUCACAGGGACUCUUCUCUGACUCCAACUCGUUUUAUGUGGUGCGAGUGUUGGCCCAGGAUGGAGGAACUCCUCGGUUAUCUUCCACCACAACAGUAUUUUUAACGGUUGAACGUAACCUCAAUACCCCGAUCUGGCAAACGCAGAACUACACAGUGACUGUAAAUGAGAUUCAGGACCUCGGAACAACUAUCAUUUCUCUGCAGGCUCUUGAUACAGAUGUGCAGUCUCCUUACAAUGUGCUGGUGUUCAGCCCGGUAGAUCGGUUCAACAAUAACAACCUAGCGCGGGAAUAUGUCGGUGUAACGUCUAACUCUGGGGAGAUAUUCAUACGUCGUUCUCUCACACUCAUCACAGAGAACCAGCUUGUUCUCGAGGUGUCUGUGCGUGACAGUGACCCUGCUAACCCAAGGACAGCAGUGAGGAAUGCCUUUGUGACUGUGAACAUCAUCCGAAACAAUUUCGCACCCGUGUUCACUGCGGCCUCGUGCGAUGUCCAGCUGACCACGUUUAACAACCAGCAGUUCUUCCUCACUCAAGUGACGGCCACUGACCAGGAUGGCUCGUCAACGCCGUUUGGUCGUGUCCGGUACAGCAUUAUUGGUGACGAUGUCGCAGUGAAUCUGUUCAACAUCGAUGAAGUUAACGGAAACAUCAACGUGGUGGGAGACCUUUCCACGAGUGGUGCAGAAUCCUACACGAUCCGAGUGCAAGCUCGUGACCUUGGUGCCCCAGCCCGCUAUGGAUACAAGGUGUGCAGUGUCAGCGUGCAGCAGAAUUUCCAGGCUCCAUUCUUCCUCAACAACUCCUACCAGGCCACUGUUCAGGAAACUUUCCCGCUUGGCAAUACCAUCCUUACUGUAUAUGGACGUGACAAUGACCUCGCGGCACCCCAUAACACAGUGCGCUACAGGCUGACGCGCGAUCCAGAAGAUCUCGAGUGUUUCCUUAUCAACGAGGUGACUGGCAACCUUGCGCUGCGCCGAUCUCUUCUCUACGACCCUUGCACUGCCAAUGUCUUCUUUAUGAGGGCCCAGGUUUACGACCUUGGAACCCCCCAACGCACUGGCCCAGAGGUGAACAUCACAGUGUUCGUACAGGGUAAUGACAACCCACCAUUCUUCCUCAACGACCCAUACGCCCGUACCCUGGCUGAGACAGAGGCCGUUGGAACACUUGUGUAUGACACUUCUGCGAGAGACGCAGACACUCUGGCUCCAUUCAACACACUUACCUACUCCAUUAUUGGUGACGAUGCAGCUGCCUCAUAUUUCCGCAUCAACUCGACAACUGGUAAUGUGUUCCUGGCCAGCAGUGUGCAGUUUGAUACUCGCUCAGCCUACCAAGUUCGACUUCAAGUUAACGAUGGUGGAAUUCCGUCACGUUACGACUCUGCCAUUCUUACCGUUUCCGUUACCCGUAAUCUACAGAGCCCAGUCUUUGACCCACAGAACUAUGAAAUUACGAUAUUUGAAGACCAAAAUUUGGGCGAGAAUAUCAUCUGUACAACGGCUACUGAUAGUGAUGUAAGAUCCCCACAUAAUGAAGUUCGCUAUGAGGCCGUCGGAUCAGGAUCGGGCAAUGCAAUGACAUAUUUUGCGAUUUCUGCAACUGAUGGAUGUGUGUAUGUGCGACGUUCCCUGAGGACCAACAAUUUCCUUCAGAGUGAAUUCACAAUGUUUGUUCGAGCUUACGACCUGGGUACUCCCCAGCGAAGCAGCGCACAGCAGGCAACAGUGAGAAUUACCGUUCUCAGAAACAACAACUGCCCCGUGUUUAAUAACCUUCCAACUCAGAUAGAUAUCUCGCAGACCCAGUCAACCCUAACCAGGAUCUUCAAUGUCUCGGCUACUGAUAGCGACGCUCCGGGUCGAUUCAGCACAAUCACUUACUCUUUGAUUGGUGAUGACAACGCCCAGGUGCUGUUCAACAUUGACGGGAAUGGCUUCAUCUACGUUUCUGCUAACAACCUCAUUAGUGACGCAGCUAGCAUGUACAAGCUGAGAGUUCGCGCAUCGGACGGUGGCUUCAUUCCAUGCUACAGAGACGCUGUGUUGACCGUGAAUGUUCGACGUAACGAAUUUGCCCCGUUCUUUGUUCCCAACUUCUUGUACACCGUAACCAUUAUGGAGACACACAACACUGGCCAGAGCGUCGUCACAGUACAGGCACAGGAUAAUGACAUCCAGUCUCCAAACAAUCUUGUGAACUAUUACAUUGCCUCCUACUCGGCCAACCGCGACAUGUUCUACAUGGACCCAACCACAGGGAAUGUCUUCCUCAGGACCAGUAUUAUCGGCACCAACGUUAACCAGUACAAUGUGUCCCUGAUUGCACGUGACAACGGCAUUCCUUCGCUGUCGGCCAAUGGGACUUUGAUCGUGAACAUACUGAGGAACCAGUUCCCACCCGUGUUCGUAAACGAGCCAUACAGACGUACCAUUGACCGCAACCUUGCUGAGGGUAGCCUCAUCGACUCGGUGACGGCCACUGACCGGGACACACAGUCUCCCUACAACGUCUUGGAGUAUGACAUUAUUGGUGACGACAUGGCCACCACAUUCUUCCUUAUCAACUCAGUGUCGGGCCGAAUCACGCUGCGAUCCUCCAUCUCUGCUGACAACAAUGACGUUUACUCUAUCCGUGUACGAGUGCAGGACGGUGGCAACCCCCGCCGAUCAGAUAUCACCGUUGUGCUGGUUUCUGUAAACAGGAACCUGUUCCCACCGGUGUUCAACCCGAGCCAGUACAGCGCAACCAUUUUGGACACGCAGGCUGUUGGCUUUCCAAUCCUCUACAUCACUGCUACGGAUGCUGAUACCACGAGUCCCCACAAUGUAGUACGCUACGACCUGAGAGGAGACACCGACACCAUUGACCUCUUUAUGGUGGAUGAUGUUAGUGGCGCCCUUAUGCUACGCAGAUCUGUGUAUUCCACCGUCAACACCCAGCAGAGCACAUUCUCGUUCCAAGGAUAUGCAAAUGACCUUGGUACACCGAACUCCCUCGACACGAGUCAGCUGGCCAAUAUCUUUAUUACCGUUGUUCGUAACAACUUCCCACCCGAGUUUAUCAACACUCCAUACAGCACGACCAUCCAGGAGACACACUCUGCCCUCACCUCGGUCUUCAAGACCUCAGCAGUCGACAGGGACACAAUUGAUCCCUUCAAUAGUGUGCGUUACGAGAUGAUUGGAGACGACGGCACUUCAUCAUUCUUCUUUGUUAACGAGACGACCGGUUUGAUCAGUCUUCGAGCCAACACCAACCUAGAGUUCGACACAACAGCCCUUUUCAUUGCUCGUAUUCGUGCAUACGAUGGUGGAUUCCCAAGCCGAUCUGCGACGGCAACAGUGCGUAUCAGCGUGCUUCGUAACCUUUUCUCGCCUAUCUACAACCACACAGCAAACAUCCAGGUCACCAUAUUCGAGACUGCCCCGAUUGGCACGUUCAUCUAUGACCUCGAUGCAUAUGACCAAGACAGACAAGCCCCAGAAAACACAAUCACCUUCUACCAGAGUGGGAACAAUUUCCAAAACAGCGAUUAUUUCCUGGUUAACCCCACCACCGGUGUUAUAACGCUGCUUCAGUCCGUCCUAAACACCAAUACGGACUUCUACAGGAUGACAGUGAUCGCCCAGGACGGUGGAAAUCCAGCACGUUCAACGCAGAUCAAUGUUGACGUAAAUGUGAUCCGGGAGACUGAUACGCUGCGUUUCACCUUGACGACGUACUCCAUCACCAUUCCUGAGACCGAACGAGUUGACAACACCAUUAUUCAGACAUUCGCUAACCCUGGGACGCCAGUCUACAGCAUUAUCAGCGGUGAACCAGGAAGUAGAUAUUUCGGAAUCCGGGAAAAUACUGGUUCCAUCUUUGUGAAACAAGACCUGACAACUGAUCCAGCCUACCUGACCUUCUAUAGGCUUCAGAUUCAGGCUUCAGCCCAAGGACAAAUAACUUUGCAGACGGCAAGAGCUUUUGUCAAUGUGACUGUUAUCCGCAACGCAAACUGUCCAGUCUUCCAGAAUGAUGAAUAUCCCGUUUUGGUCCAAGACACCCAGGGAGUAGGUGCCAGUCUGAUCACACUGUUGGCUCCUGACCAAGAUGGCGACGUUAUUCGGUAUUCAAUUGUCAAUGGGCAAGAUAUUCUACAGUACUUCUACUUGAAUCCAUUCACUGGAGUCCUCAGUCUGAGCUCUUCAUUAUUCAACAGUGGAACCAACACCUACAGAUUCACCGUUCAGGCCUCGGACCAGAGAAUCAACCAGUGCACUGAUACAGCUACCGUGAGCAUCACUGUACGCCGCGACGAAAGUGCUCCACAGUUCACUAAUGAGCCAUACAGUGGAUCUGUCCGAGAGAUUGACGUCAAUGGAACUAGUGUCACGAGGACGAGCUGUUUCGAUGUUGAUCGAAGGGGCAGUAUUGUGUAUGCUGCAGUUGGCUAUGAUGUUGCCUCGGCGUUCUUCACCAUCAAUUCACAAUCUGGAGAUGUUUCGCUCUAUGAUGUUGCUUCUCUUCGAUUACACAGCUCAAGCUCUUACACUUUUAGAAUCCAGUGUUACGACUCUGCCUAUCCGGAUAACAAGGACUUCUCCAAUGUCGUAAUUCAAGUAAGGCGUAAUAUCAACCCCCCUGUCUGUGUCCCAAGCUACUUUGAGUCGAUCCCAGAAACAUAUGGCCUUGGUGUGGAGAUACUCCGAAUCAGUGCCACGGACGCAGAUGGAGACAGAGUGACGUAUGCAAUCACUGGGGACUCCUUUGGUCAGACAAAUCGGGCAAAUGAAUUCUAUUUCAUUGGAGCAGAGACUGGCAUCAUAUAUCUGAAGAAACCUUUGACGGACAGUUCACACACAGAAGAUAAUAUUUUACUGCGAGCCUGUGAUGACCGAGUGACAGAACGCCAGUGUUGUACAUCAACGGCCAGGAUAACAAUCACUCGAGAUCAGUUCCCACCCGUGUUUGUCAAUCUGCCAUACCAGACUACCAUAAACAAGAACCAAGCCCUCAACUCCACAGUGCAGCUUACAUCGGCUCGUGACCAGGAUCUUGUGCAACAAAUCCGAUACCUGUCUGAUGGUGUCUACCCUGCUCCGACCUUCUUCGACGUGAACCCAGUGUCGGGAACAAUCACUCUGCGAAACUCCAUCAGCUCCGAUGCCCUUCUAUCAACGACCUACUUUAUGAAGCUUCUGGCCUAUGACACGGCUUACCCAUCUGUGUAUGGCACUGCGACAGCCACCAUCUUUGUGAACAGGAACCCCAGUGCUCCGGCGUUUAACUUCCAGAGUUGUCGGGCAAACAUUCCAGAGUCUGCCUCCAUCGGGCUUGGUGUCUUCAAUGCAACAGCUUCGGAUAAUGAUGGGGAUACUCUACGCUACUCCUUCUCGAGCAACACAGACCUCAUAGAUACACAGUUCUUCUAUUUGAACCCUGACACUGGCUAUAUCCAGCUCAAGGCCCUUCUCACCGACUCUUCCGUUGCACAAUUCCAGUUUGAUGUUGUGGUAAGCGACCAGAGCAAUCCAAUCAGAACUGCCGUCACCACCUGUGUGUUCAGCAUUACCCGUGACACUGCACCACCAGUGUUUAUUCGCCAGCCUUACAGGGCAAACAUCCUGGAAAAUCGAGCAGUCGGAGACAACAUUUACACAGUGACUGCCACUGAUGCUGAUCUGAGGGGAUCCAUAGUGUAUGGAAUGUCGAAUGACUUCCUGGACAGCUACCAGUCAGCCUAUUACUUCAGUCUUGAUGUCACAAACGGCAUAAUUCGUGUUCGUAACAAUCUGCGCACCGAGAUCACAUCAACUUCCACUUACGAGUUUGUUGUCACCGCCUACGACAGCCUAUCCCCUCGUUUAGUUGCCACGGCAACUGUAACCAUUACAGUGUCGCGAAACCCAAGCACUCCUAUUUUUGCACUCCCGUCGUACACGGAAUCAAUCAACGAAUAUUACCCCAUUGGAAAUCAGCUCUUCAACAUAACUGCCACAGAUCCCGAUGGUGAUGUUGUGAGGUAUUCAUUUGUGGCCCAGAAUGACCAAUUCAACCCGAACAUCAAUCGAGGUCUAGACUUCUUCUACAUUCUUGAGGGAUCCGGCCUUGUCUACCUGAAACAGCCACUGUACAACGACGCGCUUGAAACCAGCAGGUUUGAGAUGAUAGUGCAGGCUCGUGACCAGCGGUUCCCAAAUGAAAGAUUCGCCACAGCACCAGUGACGGUGUUAGUAAGCAGAACACGUAACCCACCAAUCUUUGUGCAGACUCCAUACGGUACAUCUGUCUCAGAAAAUCAACAGACCGGUACAUCUGUCUUCCGAGUUACAGCUACUGACUCAGAUCUUGAGGAGGAGAUUGAGUAUGUGGUAGUAGGUGACGAUGUUGCGCCAUACUAUUUCCGUGUGGACUCGAGGACUGGCGAUGUGUCCAUUCGCAACGACCUCAGGACCGACAAAAACAACUUCAACUAUGAACUGAGAGUUCAGGCUUAUGACACAAAGUACCGUGAUCAGAUCGCAGAGUCCAUUGUCAGCAUUUCGGUUACACGUAACGAGAAUGGUCCGGAGUUCCUUCAGUCACCAUAUCGAGUCACCAUUAACGAGACAAUCAGUCUUGGUUCAUGCAUUAUCACUGUGUCAGCUGAGGACAACGAUGGCGACCGCGUGACGUACUCCGCCACCGGGGAUGCCGGUACCCUUGAAUUCUUCAGUCUUGGAGUGGAUUCGGGAACCAUCUGUGUCCGACGCUCACUGCUCGGAAAUGUACAGCGAGAAUACAGGAUGACAAUAGUUGGCAAUGACAACAGUAACCCUAGUAAGACGGCCUUUGUGGAGGCGUUCAUUACCGUUGUCCGUGACCAGUUCCCUCCCUUCUUCACAAACACACCGUAUUCUGUUGUGUUGAGCGAGUAUGAAGCAAUUGGAGCACAGGUCUUUAAUGUCAAUGCUACUGACAAUGACCUUGUGGGUCAAAUAAGGUACGCCCUCAUUGGAGAUUACCCCACCCAAAGUUUCUUCCGUCUAGACACAGUGACUGGUAGAAUCUCCACAACCACCAGUCUCAGACUAGAUUCUAACUAUGGUUCCUUCUACGUUGCCCGGGUUACAGCCAUCGACAACCUGCGCCCGAACCAAGUUGCCACGUCAACUGUUGCAAUCAGCGUGGUGCGCAACCCCAACACCCCGGUGUUCACCCUGAAUCGUUUCACAAACACGAUCAGUGAAACAACUCCCGUUGGAUCAGUUGUACUCAACGUUACAGCAACUGAUGAUGAUCAAUUUGAUUCAAUUUCCUACUACAUCACAUCCCAAUCAUUCUCGGGCAGUACUGGAAGUGACUACUACUACUAUAUGGACCAAACUAGUGGCCAAAUCUGGCUGCGAGCAUCCCUCCUUAAUAAUGGAAUCAACCAGUUCUUCUUCACCUUCCGAGCAUGUGACAAUGGACUGCCGCAGCGAUGCGCCAACAGCACAGGAACCAUAACAGUGACGCGUAAUGCCUUCCCACCUGUGUUCACUAACGAACCGUACUCUCGAGUAAUCGCCGAGACGACUGCCAUUGGCACCACAGUUUUGACACUAUCUGCGAUCGACCGUGACCAGAUCGGAGACCUUGUAUUCGAGGCCAUCUCAACGAGCUAUCCCUUUGAGGUUAAUAGACUCAGUGGCGCUGUUACCUUACAAUAUGACAACCUUUACUACGGACCUGCUGCAUACUCGUUCCGAGUAAGAACCUAUGACUCGGCUGAUGUUUCCCGUGUUGACGAGUCAAGUGUUGACAUUAGCAUCAACCAGAACCCGAGCUCUCCCAGCUUCGACCGGCCAUCUUAUUCUCUCAACAUUCCAUGUAACUUCGCCCUCGGAGAUAUGGUUGUCAAUGUAUCAGCCUCCGAUAGUGACGGGGACAGAGUCCGAUACACGAUCAGUAACAACUUCAACAACUUUGCAUCAGAUUAUUUCUACAUCACUCCUGAUCAAGGUGAGAUCUACCUGCGGCGUUCCCUCGGCAAUAUCUCCUCUACAAACCAACAGUUCUCGUUCAUCGUAAGAGCUUCUGACCAGCGUUUGACUCCAAGGACCGCUGAUGCUAACGUAUUCAUCACUGUCGUCUGUGACAAUAGCCCACCCUUGUUCGUCAACGAGCCUUAUCAAGUGACGAUCAGCGAAAAUAGAUUCACUGACAAUACGAUUACCCGUGUCAUCUACGAUGGUGUUGUGGCUCAGGAUAGAGAUCUUCUACAAUCGCUGAGAUAUGAAUCUUAUGGAAACUACCCAGCAGAGUCCUUCUUCGAAAUCGACCCAACUACGGCUGAUAUCAGUAUUAUCCGCAGUCUGCGAGAGGACGGUUUGAACAGGCAGUCUUACACUCUGGCAAUCCUUGUGUACGACCUGGCAUAUCCACUUGCACGUGCCUUUUCAACAGUGACGAUCUUCGUUCAACGUGACCAGGCCGGCCCGAUAUUCCAGCCCUCGGCAACUUACCAGGUUACCAUACCCGAGACCACUGCCAUCGGUACAAACAUACAGGAUGUGAACGCCAUUGAUCAAGAUAACGAUGUUGUGACGUACGUGCUUGUGAAUGGCACAAGUCUCGGUGUGGACUAUUUCUACUUGGACCGUGAAAGUGGUGAAGUUUCAGUGAGACGCGAUCUCGUUCGAAAUCCCUUCAUCAGUGAAUACUUUUUGACUAUACGUGCCGAGAGUCGUCUUCGCAGCGCAUUUGCCACAGUGAGAAUCCUGAUCACUAGACAGGUUGACCAGCCCCCGUUCUUUGUCAACACGCCCUACAGACGUACCAUCAAUUACGACCAGGCUCUCAACCAGACCAUCAUGUCCGUCACUGCUCGGGACUCGGACCUUGUGGGACAAAUACGGUACAGGACUCUGGGCUUCUUCCCUGCUACGGACUACUUCAGCGUCGACUCUGUGACUGGGGCAGUCAGAAUUUUCCGAUCAGUUCGCAACGAACAGUACAGCUCCCUGCUGUACGUCCUAACUGUUGAAGCAUACGACACUGCUUUCCCACUUGUCAUGGCACAGGAGGACAUAUUGAUUGAUGUUGUACGCAAUCCCAACAGUCCAGUAUUUUUGGAGACCUUCUACCGAAGAACACUAUCGGAGAAUGUUCCCCUAGGAAAUUUUGUCCUUUGUGUGAAUGCCAGUGAUGCUGAUGGUGAUACUUUGUCGUACGAAAUGUUCGAUAACCAGAACCAGUUUGAUACUCAGUUUGCUUCACAGUUCUUCUUCCUGACUUCGCGUGGCUGCCUUUAUGUCCAGCGUUACUUGUACGAGUCUACACUAGACACCUAUACCUUCACCAUCCGUGCUCGUGACCACGCAUACCCAGAAAAGUUUGGCUCGGCAACUGUUCAGAUUGAGAUUACGCGAGAUCGUUUUGACCCACGUUUCGACAUUCAGGAUUACUCGAUCACAAUUACUGAGACUUCCCCUGUAAAUAGCUCAACGCCAAUCAUUUCAGUCAGGGCCACAGAUAAUGAUCUACAGGAUCGCAUGGUCUACAAGGCCACAGGUGAUGGCUCGGCACUUUCGUUCUUCAUGAUAAACCAGAACGGACAGAUCUUUGUCAAACAGAGCUUACUCAAUGAAAUCCAGUCCUUCUACCUCAUGACCCUACGAGCCUAUGACAGCUUCUACCCCUACACCUACGGCUUUGCCAAUGUACGCAUCAACGUUAUCCGCAACCCGAAUGCCCCCGUGUUCAGUUUGCCGAGUUACGAGGUCAGGAUCAACGAGAACUUCCCUCUUGGAAAUAGGGCAGUUGACGUCCAAGCUUCUGAUCAGGAUGGGGACCGUAUAACAUACAGGAUGAUCCCAACCAGUCUGAAUGCAAGCGACUACUUCCUUGUCAACUUUGACAAUGGUGAUGUCUAUGUGAGGCGCGAACUUUACAGGAACACAGCUAUUAACAGAUACACGAUGAUUGUACAAGCCAGUGACAACCGCGGGAUUAACACACGUUACACGAACGUGUCCGUGACGAUCAACGUUGACAGGAACCAGCCUCCGUUCUUCGUAAACACACCAUACAGGUUUACUGUCUCAGAGCAGACAGACCUCAGCACGAGUUUGUACCGUGUAACGGCAACAGACGGCGACCUGAUCGGUGAUAUCGUCUACAAUGUGCUCGGAGACAGCUACACUCCUGGCUACUUCACAGUCGACUCCACCACUGGUAUCGUUUCUGCGAUAUCUGAUAUCCGACUUGACAACAAGAUCUCUUACACUCUACGUGUGGGAGCUUAUGACUCGGCCAUUCCAUAUGAGGUUGCCACGGCAACUGUCCUCAUCUCGGUUACAAGGAACCCAAGUGGACCAGUCUUCAGGGAAGAACCGUACCGAGUGACGCUGGCCGAAGCCACACCAGUUGGCAGUAGUGUGUACAGGGUCACUGCCAAUGAUGCAGACAAUGAUGUGAUUCGGUACAGCAUAGUGGACAAUGGGUUUAACAGUAUCGCUAGCACACACUUCUACCUCCAUCCUGACAAUGGACAAAUCUGGCUGGUCCAAGCCCUUGACGACUUCACUCAGACACAGAUUAACAUAAAUGUCCGUGCAUCUGAUCAGCGCAUCCCAGAACGCGUCGAUGACUCUACUGUGAUCGUGACCAUCAUACGUGACCUUAACCCACCUGUGUUCACCAACGAGCCUUACCAGGUCUCUAUCUUGGACAGUCAAUCCAUUAACCAAUCCAUCUACACUGUGCGAGCUGUCGAUCAGGAUCUCCAGGGAACGCUGAUGUUUGAGAGUAUUGGUAUUUACCCAGCGCAGACGUUCUUCAGUGUUAACAACAACGGCAACGUGAUUGUUUCCCGAUCUUUGAAGGAGGACAGUGUAGGUAGGGAGCGUUACACACUCCGACUGAUCACCUAUGACUCGGCAGACAGCAGACUGCAGGACACAUCUGAUGUUACAAUUUUGGUUACACGCAACCCAAGCACGCCGCAGUUCUCAGAAUUCUCCUACAGUCGUUCGGUCAGCGAGGCAUUCCCACUCGGCAAUGCUGUGCUUACCAUCACUGCUACAGAUCAAGACGGAGAUGAUGUCACAUACUCGAUGCUUGCCGACACAACAGGAAGUCUGACAGGAAGUAGCUCCAUGGAGUUCUUUUACCUGAUGCCAGGAACUGGACAGGUCUUCCUCAGGAAAUCUCUCACAGAGGCACCACUUAACCAGUACUCGUUUGCUGUACGUGCUACUGACAACGGGAACCCAAGACGAAGCACAGACGGAUCAGUGACCAUCCAGAUCACCAGGGCUGUACUGCCUCGGUUCUUGAACACGCCAUACUCCACCUCCGUACAGGAGAACAGUGUUAACGGAACUCGCAUCUAUACUGUUACUGCUACUGAUGCUGAUGGACAGGGUCAAAUGAUGUACGAGGUGAUAGGAACUGGCGCAGCUCCCAGCUUCUUCUUUGUUGGCACUGACGGACAGAUCUUCACUCGUGGAGUGCUGUCAACGGACAAGGCCCUUCAAUAUACAUUGAGACUGAUUGCCUAUGACAGUCUAACUCCUGGCCAGCGAGCAACGGCAGACGUCACAAUUGGUGUACAGCGUAACGUUAACUCGCCCAACUUCAAUCCAGACAACUACAUUGAGGUUAUCCCAGAGGAAACUGCAGUGGGUGCAUCAAUCCUUCGAGUAACAGCCACAGAUGCUGACAAUGAUUUCCUUACAUACAGCCUGAGCGGGGACUUCAACAAUGACUGCACGGACACUUUCUACAUCCGGGAGACCACCGGGGAGGUUUACCUUGCCAGAUCUGUGCUCAACACCGGGGAUGUCUCAUUUACAUGCACAGUGACUGUAUCAGACAACGGUUACCCAAGCAACAACAUCGACACUGCCUUAAUAACCAUCCGAAUCAGUCGUGACGUUGCCCUCCCGGUUUUCACAAACAAUGCUCGCUAUGUGGUCACCAUUAAUGAGGACCGUCCCGUUGCCAGCAGCAUCAUCAGUGUGUCUGCCUCUAGGCAGGGUCUGCUGGGCCGAAUCUCAUAUGAGGAGAUUGGAGACUAUCCAGGCCAAAGCUUCUUCGAUGUAAACAGCCUUAGCGGAGACGUUACUGUACAACAGGACCUGAGAAAUGAUGCCAUCCGUCUGGGAUCAUACAUUCUGCGUGUGGUUGCCUAUGACACAGAUGUGCCCCGUCUACGCUCGACUGCUGAAGUAUUCAUCACUGUUGUGAGGAACCUGUACGAUCCCAUCUUCGUUCCACAGAUCUACAGAGUUACCAUUGAUGAAACAACGCCUGUCAACCAGUACAUUGUCAAACUGAAUGUCUCUGAUUCUGAUGGUGAUCAGCUGACAUGCUCCCUGACAAGUGAGACCGGAAGUUUCGGGCAGACAACAUACUUUGAUGUUGACGCUCGGGCAUGUAUUGUGUUCGUAAACAGGAACCUCGUUAGCGAUCUGACCGACAGACAGGAAUACACUUUGACUGUGAGAGCCACAGACAAUCGAUUGGAAAACACCAAGUUUGGAACUGCAACGGUUUACGUGACCGUUCUACGCGACCUCUCACCACCUAGAUUCACCAACCUGCCAUUCUCAAUUGACAUUAACGAGCAGACCACUAUUGACACAUCUGUGUACAAGGUGACGGCUACUGAUGACGACCUGGAGGGCAGCAUUGUGUACGCGCUGGUUGGACAGUUCCCCGUGCAAAGCUUCUUUGAUCUGGACACUGCCACUGGACAGGUUACACUCCGCAAUAGCCUGUUAUCAGACAACACACAGAACACCAUAUACACUGCAAGGUUUAUUGCGUAUGACAGUAUGAACCCAACACAGCGUGCCCAGUCUGACCUCACCAUCCGAGUGACCCGCAACCAGUUUGGCCCUGUGUUCAAUCCAAGCUCAUACAUUGAGACCAUUGCUGACACAUAUGAGGUCGGAGCUACUGUGCUCACUGUCACAGCCACUGACCAGGAUGGGGACUCCGUUUACUUUACUCAUGGUGGUGAUGCUACUGACCAGGAGUUCUUCUACGUAAGCCCAAACACUGGUGCCAUUUUGCUGCGAAAAUCUCUUUCAAAUAGCGUCCGCAGCCGAUUUACAUUCACUGUUACUGCCGUUGACAAUCGACCGCUCAGCGUACAGAAGACAUCUCAGGCUAGUGUGACGAUUAACGUGUUGAGAGACAGCGGACCGCCACAAUUCGUCAACACACCAUACAGGACGACCAUUCCCAUCAACCAGGGCAUUAACACAACCUUCUAUACCGUCAGCGCUAUCGAUAAUGACCUAAAGGGCACCAUUGUGUAUCGUCUGGAUGGCUUUGUGCCAGGUACCAACUACUUCGGCUUGAAUACUGCCACCGGAGACAUUUACGUUACCAACAGUCUUGCUCUUAGCCAAAUAAACACCUAUCAAGCAUUCACGCUUUUGAUAACGGCCUACGACAGUGGUGCUCCGCUAGCCAGGGUGCAGGAAACAGUAACCAUUACUGUCAACAGGAAUCUGAAUACGCCCAUCUUUGAGAGCCAGAAUUACGAGGAAACGGUUUACGAUUUUGAGCCAAUCGGAAGCAGUGUGGUGGUCGUCAGGGCAACUGAUGCUGAUACGACAAGUCCUGAGAACUUGAUCAUGUACGAUAUUGCAUCCACCAGUGUCAACACAGUGAAUGAAAUGUUCUCCAUUCACCCGAUCAAUGGUCUGAUUACGAUUAACAGAGCCCUCACAACCGAGUCUUUCAACAACUACAGGCUGAUUGUGUCCGCUGAGGAUCUCAGUUACCCAUUCCGCAGCUCGUCCGCAACUGUGAACAUUGUCGUGAUCAGGAACAAUAAUGGUCCAGUCUUCACCAGCCUUGGCCGAUACGACAUCACCAUCAACGAGGGUGCCCCAGUCCUCCAAGAGGUUUUGACAGUGACCGCCAACGAUGCUGACGAAGGCCUUAAUGGUCUUGUCCGAUACAAUAUGAUCAACUCUCCAGCCUCGUCAGUGUUUGGAAUUGAGUUGGUAACUGGCCAGAUCUUCCCACGGGUUUCUCUUCUCGAAGUGUCUGAGGAUAUCUACCAGUUCCAAGUACAAGCAACAGACACCGGGAUCGUUCCACGAUCCAGCACAGCUCAGGUUACUAUCCGCAUCACACGUGAGGGUAAUCCAUUCUUCUCCCAGCAAGAGUUCGAGGUCACUAUUCCCGAGGACAAAAUAGUCGGAACGCAGGUCUUCGACCUUGAUGCUGUUGACCCAAGAUCUGGUUCUGUGCUUGUGUACGAUAUUUACGGAGAUGGUGAUGCCGUCACUCAGUUCAAGAUUGACUCCGUCACUGGCAGAAUUGACCUAGCGGUUUCCCAACUGAACAACAACGUUAACUCCUAUGUGGUUCGUGUACGAGCUUACAGACGAGACUUCUUGACCCAAGAGGCACGAACCCUGGUACGUGUGUACAUCACCCGUAACAGCGCGUCCCCAACAUUCCAACAUGGUGACCUCACAUUCACUCUUAAUGAGGACCAGUCCCUCGGCAUGUCCUUCGGAGAAGUUGAAGCCACAGAUGCAAAUACUGGCCGCAAUGGUGAGAUCCGAUACAGUAUCCGAUCAACAGAUGCCGAUCCCGCUCAGACCCUCGAAUAUUUCUACGUGAACCCAAUUUCGGGCACCAUCUCUGUGAUAAAGCCUCUGUCUGAGGACACAACAUACCCAAACAAUUACAGGUUCUACAUAGUGGCCGCCGACCAGGGCGUACCAAGCUUAUCAGCAGCUGUCCGCGUGACUGUGAUUGUUGUCAGGAACAGGAACGGCCCCGUUUUCCGUGCGGAAUCGUAUGAGCAAACCAUCUCGGAAUUCCAACCUAUUAACACCUUGGUUCUCGCCGUAGCAGCUGAUGAUGCAGAUAAUCACCCUAUCACGUACAGCAUCAUUGCCAGCACCUCCGGCACAUUCUUCUUCAACAUUAACCCCACCAAUGGUGAGAUCAGGGUCAACGGAGAUCUUUCCCAGACCGGUGUCUCCGUGUUUGAGAUGACAAUUCGUGCCAGAGACAACCCAGGCUCCAACGCAGUUUCCCGCUUUGACACGGCCACUGUGACGAUCACAGUGACGAGGAAUCCGAACAGGCCUGUGUUCACAUCUGCCACCUACAACGUCACCAUCUCAGAAUACCUUUCUGUGCAACAGUCUGUUAUCAGAACUGUAGCUACCGAUGCUGAUCCAGCUAAUACUCCAAGUGGAACAAUCGAUUAUUCAAUUGAGUACAUCAGCUCCACACCAACCAACGGGUUUGCCCAGUUUGUAGUCAGCCCCACUGAGGGAAGCAUCUACAUCAGCCAGCCUCUCACCAGGAUUAAUGUGCCAGAUAACUUCGAGCUGCGUGUUGUUGCUACAGACCAGGCCUCUCAGCCAAAGUCAGCUACAGCGACAGUGUACAUCACCAUCAUCCGCAACCAGCAUGCUCCAAUCUUUACCAACCAAGAGGGAUACACCGCCUCCAUCUCUGACUACUGGGCUAUUGGUAGAGACCUCUUCCAGGCGACAGCCAUCGAUGAUGACCGCGAUGUUGUGCUGAGUCGAAACACUCCAAAUGCUGAAUUUGACUACUUGAUCGACCCAGAUGAAUUGUACGCCGCACAGUUUUUUGGAAUCAACAAAGAUGGUAUUCUCUACGUGAAAGCCAACAUCCAGGAGGCUGACAAGAGAGAGGAAUUCAAGUUUUACAUCGUGGCUAUUGACCGCAGCUGGAAUCCUCGUAGUAACCGAGCCCUCGUGACGAUCUCCGUGACAUACUCUGGUAUCAGACAGGAGCUUGGAUUUUCCCAGCCUGCGUACUACCUCGAGAUUAUUGAGUUGAACGUCGACGGCAACAGCAACCCGACCGUCCUAACUACACUAGAUGUGACAAACACUCGCAUUAAUGGAAACGCAGGCUGUUACAUUAUGUUCAUCAACUCUGUGUCAUAUGGACCAAACAUAAAUGGAUACAAUCUUUUCCGAGUGGUGAACAAUCCAAACGACCAGGAUUGUGAACUUCAACUGCGAGGAAACCUUGACCAUGAGCAAACAAGGUUCUGGAACAUCACUAUUGGUGUUGACCUGAACCAGAACACUCGCAAGAAGCGACAGACCGAAAUUGUGCCAGUAUACCCAUCCUAUGCCGUCACCAUGGUGUACAUAACUGUCCUGGACGCCAAUGACAAUGCACCAGUGUUCCAAUACCCGGUGUAUCCAAACAAUAUCUUCAAUAAUGACCGAGAUGGUUUGCUGUAUAUUGGUGCUAUUUCACAGUACGCAGCCGCAACAUAUCAACCCGUCCUGCUGAUGGCAACUGAUGCUGAUUCGGCGGAGAAUGGUCGAGUGACUUACAGUCUGUCUAACCUUGACAUAAACAACAAUGAAAUUGUGCCAUUCCUGGUUGAUGCGAACGAUGGAAGUAUCACCGCUUCAAGGGAGUUUAUCCGAACUGGUCAAAAACAGUAUAGGUUCACAGGUAUCGCCAGGGACAACCCAACAGACGUCAACAUAAGACAGCAAACAGAAACUGAUGUCAUCAUUGACGUCAUUGAAAACCAGAACCGCUUUAUUCUGGUCGUUAGCACCGACAUCAACAACGUUAACCGGGAAAUUGAGUCAAUCCGUCAAGCUCUUCAGAACGAGAUCAACAGAAUCGUGCUCAUUGAAAGUGUCAACUACAGACGCUACCUCAGCGCUGGCAUUCUUAGUAUCGACUACCAAAAGACUGAUGUCACUUUCGUUGUUGUGAACCAUCUCAACCGACAGUUCACUCUUUACACCAAUGGGGAUGAUCAAUUGAAUCUGUUAACAACAGGGGACAAUCCCAACGCUCAAGUGACGGCCGGUAUCAGAACAGCGCUAGGUACUUAUGUCAUCGUCGAUCUUAUCCGUGCACCAUACGCAGCUGAGAACAUCAUUGGUGUGUCUGACGAACUUCUCUCCCUGAACGCGCGCCCGACAAAAUCAUACGUGUGGUGGCUGGAGGACCCAUGGGCAGGCUUUGUGGCUCUGUCAUGCAUAAUCAUUGUCCUCGGCAUUCUGUCCCUUGUGGUGCUCCUUUACCAGUGGAACAGGUACAACGCCUAUUUGAACAACUACCGCAUCUACCACCGCAGCUACGAACAUCAACCCGACUUCACGAAUCCUCCUUCCUUCCUCAAGGAGUACGAGACGCAGCAGACACUGGACAUGUAUAUGCCGCCAGAUGAGACAGUCCAGGAUCUAGGUGAGAUCAACAUGAGCUUCAACCGCGCUGACUCUGCUAGACACACAGGCGAGGUUCGCAAGAUCUCAACGAGAAACCCCGUCUAUGACAACUCCCAAUACCACGUUAAAGUUGGCCAAGUACACUACUAAUGUCAAUAUGACCCCUCGUUCAUCAGUAGCAAACAGCAACGUCUACCAUGUCAGUCUGAGACCAGAAAGCCGCAAUGAGGGCGAAGCUACCGUUGUGUACACCACCUCCAAUGACGGAAACUAAACGCUACUUUCAAGAAACAUCAUGUGAAAAUUUAACCCCACCAUGGACCAUUGAACAGUAAUUUAAGAAAAAAUGAACAUUUUUAUAAGAUAUUAAAAAAAAUAUGGUCUCAGUUUAAUGUUUAGAUCUAUGUUCUUAUACUUUAGUUUUAUAUAACCUCUCCGUGUAGCUUUGACUAAUAGUAGACUGUAACCCGUAUCUUGCAAUUGCCACUAGGAAUUGUGCUUUCUCUAAUAUAUUCUCUUGUUUAAAAUAAAAAAAACGUAAAAAAUGCUUUGUGCGAAGGACUGUCAAUUUGUUAAUGAAGUGUUUGCUGAGGUUUUUUUGUUACCGAUUUAUAUAAGAUUUAUAUAAUGUGUUUCCGGACUUUGCUUGAUAUUUUAUACAUGUGCUAAACCUUUUGUAUUUUGUAGAUUUUGUAUAUCAAUAAUUGUUGGUGCUUUACAUGACAUUCUGACAUAGUGGCAUUCCAAUACUGUUUUUCUGAUAGACUGGCAUUCCAAUAUUAUUAUUUGUUCUUGAGCUGUUAAUCAAGUGCUUUUGUUAAAUCAUAUAUAUUUUUCUAUUCAUCAUAUUCUAUUUUGAAAUUUAUAAAUGUUUAGAUUUUUGUAAAAUUUACAUUUCUGCAAUAAACAUCCACAG